rnacentral:lncRNA from 1 species
UUUCACCCAAAAUUUUAGAAAAAGAAUUAGGAAUUUCAGUUGCUCAGCGUAUCCAAAAGCUCAGUUUUGGAGAGGAUAACUCCCCUGUGAUACUCUCAGGACCACCUCAGUCCUUUAGUGAAGAAGAUUCAUUUAAAAAAUGUUCAUCUGAAGUUGAAGCUAAAAAUAAGAUUGAAGAACUACUUGCUAGUCUUUUAAACAGAGUAUGCCAAGAUGGAAGGAAGCCUCAUACAGUGAGAUUAAUAAUCCGUCGGUAUUCCUCUGAGAAGCACUAUGGUCGUGAGAGUCGUCAGUGCCCUAUUCCUUCACAUGUAAUUCAGAAAUUAGGGACAGGUCUCCAGUCCCCAGAUUUCUGUGCAUCCUCUCUCAUGCAAAGAAGGCUGGAAGACAAACUUGUGAAGCUAGAGGGUGUUUUUACUAAACACUAAAGGAGUUUUACUAAAGGAGUUUCAAAUUCAUGUGACCACGCCACAGUCAACACACAGAACAGGUUUAUCACAAGGAUCCCUCCUGCCACCCUUUCAAAGCGAAAGCCACUUUCUUUCUGCUCCUCCCCCACCUCCCUAACCCCAGAAACCACUAAUUCUGUUCAUCUUUAUCAUUUUGUCAUUUCAAAAAUGUUAAAUAAAUGGAAGAAUCCACUAUUUAACCUUA